AGUGAACGCUGGCGGCGUGCCUAAUACAUGCAAGUCGAACGGAGUGGCGCACGGGUGAGUAAUAUAUAGCUAAUCUGCCCCUUGCUGUAGGACAACAGAUAGAAAUGACUGCUAAUACUCCAUAGCAAGGGAUGAGACUAUAUCGUAUCAGCUAGUCGGUGGGGUAACGGCCUACCGAGGCGAUGACGCGUAACUGGUCUGAGAGGAUGAUCAGUCACAUUGGAAGUGAGACACGGUCCGAAAUCCUACGGGAGGGAGCAGUAGGGAAUCGUGCGCAAUGGGGGAAACCCUGAAGGAUCAACGCCGCGUGGAGGAUGACACUUUUCGGGGAGUAAACUCAUUUUGUUAGGGAAGCGGUACCUAACGAAUAAGCACCGGCUAACUCCGUGCCAGCAGCCGCGGUAAUAC
rnacentral:rRNA from 1 species